UCCGAUUGAUCCCGUCGGACCCCACUGCUAUCGAGAUGGGACUAAGGUAUGCUAGUCGAACGACCAGAACUAUGUCUGGAAGUGGCACACUGCUCAGUAACACGUAGCUAACCUACCCUUAGGACGUGGACAACCCCGAGAAAUUGGGGGUAAUCCGCGAUAGGUGUAAUGUCCUGGAAUGGUAUUACGCCUAAAGGUGUAUCAUACAUGUUUGAUAUACGCCUAAGGAUGGGGCUGCGGCCGAUCAGGCUGUUGGUGAGGUAAUGGCUCACCAAACCUUUGACCGGUACGGGCCAUGAGAGUGGUAGCCCGGAGAUGGACACUGAGACAAGGGUCCAGGCCCUAAGGGGCGCAGCAACCGCGAAACCUCCACAAUGCACUCACGUGCGAUGGGGCUAUCUCGAGUGCCACCUGAUGAAGGUGGCUUUUCCUAGGUCUUCAAAGCCUUGGGAAUAAGAGGGGGGCAAGACUGGUGUCAGCCGCCGCGGUAACACCAGCCCCUCGAGUGGUGGGGAUGAUUAUUUGGCCUAAAGCGUCCGUAGCCGGCCGAGCAAGUCUUCCGUUAAAUCCAGCGUCUCAAGCGCUGGACUGCGGGAGAUACUACACGGCUAGAGAGUGGGAGAGGUCAGCGGUAUUCUGGGGGUAGGGGCGAAAUCCUUUGAUCCCCGGAGGACCACCAGUGGCGAAGGCUGCUGACUAGAACACGUCUGACGGUCAGGGACAAAGCUGGGGUAGCGAACCGGAUUAGAUACCCGGGUAGUCCCAGCCGUAAACGAUGCAUGCUAGGUGUUGGGUUGGCCACGAGCCACCCCAGUGCCGCAGGGAAGCCGUUAAGCAUGCCGCCUGGGAAGUACGAUCGCAAGAUUGAAACUUAAAGGAAUUGGCGGGGGAGCACCACCAGGCGUGAAGCCUGCGGUUUAAUUGGAGUCAACGCCGGGAACCUUACCGGGAGCGACAGCAGAAUGAAGGCCAGAUUGAAGAUCUUGCAGACGAGCUGAGAGGAGGUGCAUGGCCGUCGCCAGUUCGUGCCGUGAGGUGUUCUCUUAAGUGAGAUAACGAACGAGACCCGUGCCACAUGUUGCCACCAGUAUCUAAAGGAUAGCUGAGCACUCUUGUGGGACCGCAGCCGAUAAGGCUGAGGAAGGUACGGGCAACGGCAGGUCAGUAUGCCCCGAAUCUCCCGGGCCACACGCGGGCUGCAAUGGUACAGACAGAGGGCUGCCACCCCGAAAGGGGGAGCCAAUCCCUAAACUGUACCUCAGUUGGGAUCGAGGGUUGCAACCCACCCUCGUGAACAUGGAAUGCCUAGUAACCGCCAGUCAUCAUCUGGUGGUGAAUACGUCCCUGCUCCUUGCACACACUGCCCGUCGAACCACCCGAAUGAGGUUUGGGUGAGGAAUGGUCGAAUGUUGGCCGUUUCGAACCUGGGCCUCGUAAGGAGGGUUAAGUCGUAACAAGGUG
rnacentral:rRNA from 1 species